UACGUAGGGUGCGAGCGUUAACCGGAAUUACUGGGCGUAAAGCGUGCGCAGGCGGUUUUGUAAGUCUGACGUGAAAUCCCCGGGCUUAACCUGGGAAUUGCGUUGGAGACUGCAAGGCUGGAGUCUGGCAGAGGGGGGUAGAAUUCCACGUGUAGCAGUGAAAUGCGUAGAGAUGUGGAGGAACACCGAUGGCGAAGGCAGCCCCCUGGGUCAAGACUGACGCUCAUGCACGAAAGCGUGGGGAGCAAACAGG
rnacentral:rRNA from 1 species